AAAAAUAGCACUAAAUUGUUGAUUAAUUUUUAGGAGGUUUUUUUUUUUCAAAAUUGCAAAAUAUGGAGAACUGAAUUUAAGUUUGGAAAAAAAUCUUUCCAACCCUAUAUUGUCACGUAUCUCCCCCCACUCGAGGAAGUGCCAAAUCAUCAUCUUCAUCCCCAUCCAGCUUCAUUAUUGUUCCACUCUAAGAUAUGCUUAAAAUGCUCCAUUCUCUUGCAGCUUAGGAAUUCGUCCUUUCUGAAUUUCUACAUUGAAUGCUUUGAUCCGCACCUUUCAGACUCAUAUGUGCAUGGGAAUUUAGCUGUUCACUGGCUUUAGCACUCCUCCAAUUAUUGCAGCUGCCAGCAGUUUAUAUUAUCAAAAUAUGCAAUUAAAUAUCUAAAAAAUAUUUUGGAGAGGAAAUAUGUAUUUAAAAACAUGUUUGGAAGGAUUUUUAAAAUUAUUUUUACUGUAGAAAAAAUAUUAUUAUUCAUUUCAUUUCUAUACAGCUUUACAUUUUUAGGAAAAAUUCUCAGAGCAGUUUACAAUAUAUUAAAAGACCAAACAAUCCAGAAUGAAACGUUACCGAAGAAAAUAGAAGGGGAUUGUGGAUUUUAAAACCCACAAAGUAAGAAAGAAGAGAAAUAGAUACAUUCAUCCAUUCCAGUCUUGUCAGUAGCUUUUGCUGCAAAAAUAGCAGGCUGGAGGAGGAGUAAUUCUACAGUCUUAUUCCUCUGUUUAUUUCCUGUAAGGCAGCAAUCAAAUAAAAUGGAUGUAUGUAGUAUGGAUCUGCUGAUAGGUGGGAGAUUGGGUGGUUAAUUGAUUCUGAUAGGCUGGUGUGACCUAACAGAAUAGAUACUAAGGAUUUGCAGGGGAUGCUGAGGUUAAUGAAAUGUAGACCUGGUUUCAUUUGUGGAAAUUAACAUCAAAUGUCUGCAUUCUCAAUGAGCCCAAUGUCACAUCUCAUUUCUGAGAUGAGCUGCAUUUGCUAAAGGGUACCACUUGGUCCAUGCGCUAUGUCUUGUUGGUGUAUCAGCCAGCUGCCAAAUGAUUCUGACCAGAGCAUAGGUGAACCAGAGACCUCAGAGUUAUUUUCUACAGAUCCAUGCGGGAGCUCAGAGCUGAUUCCCCAUCCAAAUGAUGUGCAAAGGGAAGGAAAGGGAAAAAGGCAACUCACACAAUGAUUCUUUCAGUCUCUUGGGAAAAUUCAGAGUUUGAGAAGAACUUCAUAUGGCCAGAUAUUUAAUAUUUUCACUCUUAUCUCUCGACAAGGGCAAGCAUUUAAAAAAAUAAAUAAAUCCAAGUGCUAUAAAGGGUAACAACUUUCCAACUCUCUUUGAGAUUUUCAUCCAAGGUAACACAAAAAUCUUGUUUAUGGGCAUAUGUACAUAGAGACCUAUGUAUAUAGAGGCAUAUGUGUAAAUAUAUAUAGACACUGUUGUUCAUAUGGAUAAUGUUUAUCGGUAUUACAAAAUCAGUGGUGCUCUUUCUCCCUUCCUUUUUAAUAAAAUUCAAAACAAAAAAAC